CCUACGGGAGGCAGCAGUCGAGGAUCUUCUGCAAUGGACGCAAGUCUGACGGAGCAACGCCGCGUGCAGGAGGACGCUUUUCGGAGUGUAAACUGCUUUUCUGUGGGACGAGCAAGGACGGUACCGCAGGAAGAAGCCCCGGCUAACUACGUGCCAGCAGCCGCGGUAAUACGUAGGGGGCGAGCGUUGUCCGGAGUUACUGGGCGUAAAGGGCAUGCAGGCGGUCGGACGCGUUUCCAGUGACAGCGGGUGGCUUACCUACCUGAGUAUUGGAAAGACGGUUUGACUUGAGGACUCGAGAGGGACACGGAAUUCCGGGUGGAGUGGUGAAAUGCGUAGAGAUCCGGAGGAACAUCGAAGGCGAAGGCAGUGUCCUGGCGAGUAACUGACGCUGAGGUGCGAAAGCUAGGGGAGCGAACGGGAUUAGAUACCCUGGUAGUC
rnacentral:rRNA from 1 species